rnacentral:rRNA from 1 species
GUGGGGAAUAUUGGACAAUGGGCGAAAGCCUGAUCCAGCCAUGCCGCGGGUGUGAAGAAGGUCUUCGGAUUGUAAAGCACUUUAAGUUGGGAGGAAGGGCAGUAAGUUAAUACCUUGCUGUUUUGACGUUACCGACAGAAUAAGCACCGGCUAACUUCGUGCCAGCAGCCGCGGUAAUACGAAGGGUGCAAGCGUUAAUCGGAAUUACUGGGCGUAAAGCGCGCGUAGGUGGUUCAGUAAGUUGGAUGUGAAAUCCCCGGGCUCAACCUGGGAACUGCAUCCAAAACUGCUGAGCUAGAGUACGGUAGAGGGUGGUGGAAUUUCCUGUGUAGCGGUGAAAUGCGUAGAUAUAGGAAGGAACACCAGUGGCGAAGGCGACCACCUGGACUGAUACUGACACUGAGGUGCGAAAGCGUGGGGAGCAAACAGGAUUAGAAACCCUUGUAGUCC